rnacentral:rRNA from 1 species
CAUGUCCUUUUGAUAAUAAUUUAAGGUUUAAUCUGCUCAAUGAAGUUUUAAAUAGCCGCGGUAUUUUGACCGUGCAAAGGUAGCAUAAUAAUUAGUUUCUUUAUUGGGAGCUUGUAUGAAUGAUUGGACGAGAAAAAGACUGUCUCUUUCUUAUUAAUUGAAAUUAACUUUUGAGUGAGAAGGCUUAAAUAUAAGUUAAAGACGAGAAGACCCUAUAGAGUUUAAUUUUGCUUUAUUUAUAAUUUAAUUAGUAUUUUUAAUUUGUAUUUAUUUCUUAAUUUGAUUGGGGUGAUUUUUGGAUUUAGAAAACUCCUAUAGCUUAUAAUCAUUAAUUUAUGAAUUUUGAUUCUAGAAUUAUUUAAUUUUAAAAUAAAUUACCUUAGGGAUAACAGCGUAAUUUUACUUUAGAGUUCAUAUUGAAAGUAGAGUUUGCGACCUCGAUGUUGGAUUAAAAUAAAUUGCUGGCGCAGAAGCUGGUAAAUUGAGUCUGUUCGACUUUUAAAAUUUUACAUGAUCUGAGU